GCCUACGGGGGGCAGCAGUAGGGAAUCUUCCACAAUGGGCGAAAGCCUGAUGGAGCAACGCCGCGUGGGUGAGGAAGGUCUUCGGAUCGUAAAACCCUGUUGUUAGAGAAGAAAGUGCGUGAGAGUAACUGUUCACGUUUCGACGGUAUCUAACCAGAAAGCCACGGCUAACUACGUGCCAGCAGCCGCGGUAAUACGUAGGUGGCAAGCGUUAUCCGGAUUUAUUGGGCGUAAAGGGAACGCAGGCGGUCUUUUAAGUCUGAUGUGAAAGCCUUCGGCUUAACCGGAGUAGUGCAUUAGAAACU
rnacentral:rRNA from 1 species